rnacentral:rRNA from 1 species
GUGCCAGCCGCCGCGGUAAUACGAAGGGGGCUAGCGUUGUUCGGAAUUACUGGGCGUAAAGGGCGUGUAGGCGGCUCGUUAAGUCAGGUGUGAAAUUCCUGGGCUCAACCCAGGACGUGCGCCUGAUACUGGCGAGCUUGAGUCCGGGAGAGGAUGGUGGAACUCCCAGUGUAGAGGUGAAAUUCGUAGAUAUUGGGAAGAACACCCGUGGCGAAGGCGGCCAUCUGGACCGGUACUGACGCUAAGGCGCGACAGCGUGGGGAGCAAACAGGAUUAGAAACCCCCGUAGUCC